AUUGAACGCUGGCGGCAUGCCUUACACAUGCAAGUCGAACGGCAGCACGGGAGCAAUCCUGGUGGCGAGUGGCGAACGGGUGAGUAAAGUAUCGGAACGUGCCCAGUCGUGGGGGAUAACGUAGCGAAAGUUACGCUAAUACCGCAUACGAACUAUGGAUGAAAGCGGGGGAUGGCAAGACCUCGCGCGAUUGGAGCGGCCGAGAUCAGAUUAGGUAGUUGGUGAGGUAAAGGCUCACCAAGCCGACGAUCUGUAGCUGGUCUGAGAGGACGACCAGCCACACUGGAACUGAGACACGGCCCAGACUCCUACGGGAGGCAGCAGUGGGGAAUUUUGGACAAUGGGCGCAAGCCUGAUCCAGCCAUGCCGCGUGCAGGAUGAAGGCCUUCGGGUUGUAAACUGCUUUUGUACGGAACGAAAAGGUUUGACUUAAUACGUUGGACUCAUGACGGUACCGUAAGAAUAAGCACCGGCUAACUACGUGCCAGCCGCCGCGGUAA
rnacentral:rRNA from 1 species